rnacentral:rRNA from 1 species
ACCGGCGCACGGGUGCCGCACGCGUAUAUACCUAGCUUUUCAUAGGAAUAGCCUUUAUGAAUGACGAUUAUUGCCUCAGGGUCUGUCAUCAGUAAAGAUUUAGGUGGGUAAGAUGGGCGUGCGGCCCAUGUGCGCGGUGGUAAGGUAACGGCUGACCAAUACAGCGAUAGGUCUGGGUUCUGAUAGGGAGAUCGCCCACGUUGGUACUGAGACACGGACCAGACUCAUACGGGAGGCAGCAGUGAGGAAUAUUGGACAAUGGAGGAGACUCUGAUCCAGCCAUGCCGCGUGUAGGAAGAAUGCCUAUGGGUUGUAAACUACUUUUAUACAGGAAGAAACACUGGUAUGUAUACCAGCUUGACGGUACUGUAAGAAUAAGGACCGGCUAACUCCGUGCCAGCAGCCGCGGUAAUACGGAGGGUCCGAGCGUUAUCCGGAAUCAUUGGGUUUAAAGGGUCCGCAGGCGGUCGAUUAAGUCAGAGGUGAAAUCCCAUAGCUCAACUAUGGAACUGCCUUUGAUACUGGUUGACUUGAGUCAUAUGGAAGUAGAUAGAAUGUGUAGUGUAGCGGUGAAAUGCAUAGAUAUUACACAGAAUACCGAUUGCGAAGGCGGUCUACUACGUAUGUACUGACGCUGAGGAACGAAAGCGUUGGGAGCGAACAGGGAUAGAUAGCCUGUAGGUCAACGCCGA